rnacentral:rRNA from 1 species
GUCCUAGCUGUAAACGGUGCACAUUUGCUGUAAAAGGAUUCGACCCCUUUUGUGGCGAAGCUAACGCGAUAAAUGUGCCGCCUGGGAAGUACGGUCGCAAGAUUAAAACUCAAAGAAAUUGACGGGGGCCUGCACAAGCGGUGGAGUAUGUGGCUUAAUUCGAUGCAACGCGAAGAACCUUACCUGGCCUUGACAUGUGGGUGGUAAAAGCUUGAAAGAGUGAUGACCCCGCAAGGGGAGCCUACACAGGUGCUGCAUGGCUGUCGU